rnacentral:rRNA from 1 species
UACGUAGGGCGCAAGCGUUGUCCGGAAUUAUUGGGCGUAAAGAGCUCGUAGGCGGCCUGUUGCGUCCGCUGUGAAAACCCGGGGCUUAACCCCGGGCUUGCAGUGGAUACGGGCAGGCUGGAGGCAGGCAGGGGAGAACGGAAUUCCCGGUGUAGCGGUGAAAUGCGCAGAUAUCAGGAGGAACACCGGUGGCGAAGGCGGGUCUCUGGGCCGAUACUGACGCUGAGGAGCGAAAGCGUGGGGAGCGAACAGG